UACGUAGGGUGCGAGCGUUGUCCGGAAUUAUUGGGCGUAAAGGGCUCGUAGGCGGUCUGUUGCGUCAGGAGUGAAAACUCGGGGCUUACCCCGAGCCUGCUUCUGAUACGGGCAGACUAGAGGUAUGCAGGGGAGAACGGAAUUCCUGGUGUAGCGGUGAAAUGCGCAGAUAUCAGGAAGAACACCGGUGGCGAAGGCGGCUCUCUGGGCCUUACCUGACGCUGAGGAGCGAAAGCGUGGGUAGCGAAGCAGG
rnacentral:rRNA from 1 species